GAUGAACGCUGGCGGCGUGCUUAACACAUGCAAGUCGAACGGAAAGGCCCAAGCUUGCUUGGGUACUCGAGUGCCGAAGGGGUGAGUAACACGCGGGUGAUCUGCCCUGCACUUCGGGAUAAGCCUGGGAAACUGGGUCUAAUACCGGAUAGGAUCACAUUUUGGAUGGUGUGGUGGAAAGUUUUUCGGUGUGGGGUGAGCUCGCGGCCUAUCCGCUUGUUGGUGGGAUAAUGGCCUACCAAGGCGUCGACGGGUAGACGGCCUGAGAGAGUGUACGGCCACAUUGGGUCUGAGGGGCGGCACAGACUGCUACGGGAGGCAGCAGUGGGGAAUAUUGCACAAUGGGCGCAGGGCUGAUGCAGCGACGCCGCGUGGGGGAUGACGGCCUUCGGGGUGUAGACUCCUUUCGCAAGUGACGAUGCGUUAUGUGACGGUACCUAGUGAGGAAGCACCGGCUAACUACGUG
rnacentral:rRNA from 1 species